GAUGAAGAACGCAGCGAAAUGCGAUAAGUAAUGUGAAUUGCAGAAUUCAGUGAAUCAUCGAAUCUUUGAACGCACAUUGCGCCCCCUGGUAUUCCGGGGGGCAUGCCUGUCCGAGCGUCAUUACAACCCUCAAGCUCAGCUUGGUAUUGGGCCCCGCCGCUCCGGCGGGCCCUAAAGUCAGUGGCGGUGCCGUCCGGCCCCGAGCGUAGUAAUUCUUCUCGCUCUGGAGGUCCGGUCGUGUGCUCGCCAGCAACCCCCAAUUUUUUUCAGGUUGACCUCGGAUCAGGUAGGGAUACCCGCUGAACUUAAGCAUAUCAAUAAGCGGAGGA
rnacentral:misc_RNA from 1 species